rnacentral:rRNA from 2 species
UGCUUGCAUCAUGAUUUACAUUUCCAGUGAGUGGCGAACUGGUGAGUAACACGUGGGAAACCUGCCCAGAAGCGGGGGAUAACACCUGGAAACAGAUGCUAAUACCGCAUAACAACUUGGACCGCAUGGUCCGAGCUUGAAAGAUGGCUUUGGCUAUCACUUUUGGAUGGUCCCGCGGCGUAUUAGCUAGAUGGUGGGGUAACGGCUCACCAUGGCAAUGAUACGUAGCCGACCUGAGAGGGUAAUCGGCCACAUUGGGACUGAGACACGGCCCAAACUCCAACGGGAGGCAGCAGUAGGGAAUCUUCCACAAUGGACGAAAGUCUGAUGGAGCAACGCCGCGUGAGUGAAGAAGGGUUUCGGCUCGUAAAACUCUGUUGUUAAAGAAGAACAUAUCUGAGAGUAACUGUUCAGGUAUUGACGGUAUUUAACCAGAAAGCCACGGCUAACUACGUGCCAGCAGCCGCGGUAAUACGUAGGUGGCAAGCGUUGUCCGGAUUUAUUGGGCGUAAAGCGAGCGCAGGCGGUUUUUUAAGUCUGAUGUGAAAGCCUUCGGCUCAACCGAAGAAGUGCAUCGGAAACUGGGAAACUUGAGUGCAGAAGAGGACAGUGGAACUCCAUGUGUAGCGGUGAAAUGCGUAGAUAUAUGGAAGAACACCAGUGGCGAAGGCGGCUGUCUGGUCUGUAACUGACGCUGAGGCUCGAAAGUAUGGGUAGCAAACAGGAUUAGAUACCCUGGUAGUCCAUACCGUAAACGAUGAAUGCUAAGUGUUGGAGGGUUUCCGCCCUUCAGUGCUGCAGCUAACGCAUUAAGCAUUCCGCCUGGGGAGUACGGCCGCAAGGCUGAAACUCAAAGGAAUUGACGGGGGCCCGCACAAGCGGUGGAGCAUGUGGUUUAAUUCGAAGCUACGCGAAGAACCUUACCAGGUCUUGACAUACUAUGCAAAUCUAAGAGAUUAGA